AUCUAUGGCCAUGCUACCCUGAACAAGCCCGAUCCCAUCUGAUAUUGGAAGCUAAGCAGGGUCGGGCCUGGUUAGUACUUGGAUGGGAGACCACCUAGAAAGACCAGGUGCUGUAGGCA
rnacentral:rRNA from 1 species